rnacentral:rRNA from 1 species
AACGAACGCUGGCGGCAUGCCUAACACAUGCAAGUCGAACGAGCCCUUCCGGUCUAGUGGCGCACGGGUGCGUAACGCGUGGGAACCUGCCCUUAGGUUCUCGAUAUCUCCCCGAAAGGGUUGCUAAUAUCGGAUAAUGUCUUCUUACCAAAGAUUUAUCGCCUUUGGAUGGGCCCGCGUUGGAUUAGCUAGUUGGUAGGGUAAAAGCCUACCAAGGCGACGAUCCAUAGCUGGUCUGAGAGGAUGAUCAGCCACACUGGGACUGAGACACGGCCCAGACUCCUACGGGAGGCAGCAGUGGGGAAUAUUGGACAAUGGGCGAAAGCCUGAUCCAGCAAUGCCGCGCGAGUGAUGAAGGCCUUAGGGUUGUAAAGCUCUUUUACCCGGGAUGAUAAUGACAGUACCGGGAGAAUAAGCCCCGGCUAACUCCGUG